UUGCAGUGAUGUUGAAUUUUUCGUCAACAGCAUAUCACCCCCGUGUAUGUUGAUAGCUUUACUCUGAGCAA